GGGGGGGGGGGGGGGGGGGCGGGGGGGGGGGGGGGGGGGGGGGGGGGGCGGGGUGGGGGGGGGUGGUGGGGGGGGGAAGGGGGGGGUGCCCGGUGGGGAACCGGCCCGUGCUUUGGGGGGACGUUGGGGAACCGGGGGCGAAGCCCGGUAUGGAGCCCCUGCUGCAUGGUGGGGGGUGAGAAGUUUCGGCGGUUGGGGUUGGACCCGCGGCUUUUAAGCUUGUUGGUGGGGUAGGGGCUUACCAAGGCUUUGACGGGUAGCCGGCCUGAGAGGGUGACCGGCCACAUUGGGACUGAGAUACGGCCCAGACUCCUACGGGAGGCAGCAGUGGGGAAUAUUGCACAAUGGGCGGAAGCCGGAUGCAGCAACGCCGCGUGCGGGAUGACGGCCUUCGGGUUGUAAACCGCUUUCGCUGUGACGAAGCGUGAGUGACGGUAAUGGGUAAAGAAGCACCGGCUAACUACGUG
rnacentral:rRNA from 1 species